UAAACGAAAGCCAAAUAGGCACCUAUCUGUUAAGUAGGCCUCUGUUAAUCCAUAACUCGUUUAA
rnacentral:tRNA from 1 species